UACGUAGGGUGCAAGCGUUGUCCGGAAUUAUUGGGCGUAAAGGGCUCGUAGGCGGUCUGUCGCGUCGGCUGUGAAAACCCGGAGCUCAACUCCGGGCCUGCAGUCGAUACGGGCAGACUGGAGUUCGGCAGGGGAGACUGGAAUUCCUGGUGUAGCGGUGAAAUGCGCAGAUAUCAGGAGGAACACCGGUGGCGAAGGCGGGUCUCUGGGCCGAUACUGACGCUGAGGAGCGAAAGCGUGGGGAGCGAACAGG
rnacentral:rRNA from 1 species